GAGAGAGAGAGUCAAAAUGGGUGGAGUGAAAGAAGGAAGCCAGGAAAAGAGGAAGGAUUCUGUCUCAUCUGUGUGUGAACUCUUUCUUUCUGCAUCUUUUUCUUUUUCCCUGUCUUGUUUCUG
rnacentral:ribozyme from 1 species